ACAAUGGGCGCAAGCCUGAUGCAGCGACGCCGCGUGAGGGAUGACGGCCUUCGGGUUGUAAACCUCUGUUAGCAUCGAAGAAGCGAAAGUGACGGUAGGUGCAGAGAAAGCGCCGGCUAACUACGUGCCAGCAGCCGCGGUAAUACGUAGGGCGCGAGCGUUGUCCGGAAUUAUUGGGCGUAAAGAGCUUGUAGGCGGUUGGUCGCGUCUGCUGUGAAAGGCUGGGGCUUAACCCUGGUUUUGCAGUGGGUACGGGCUAACUAGAGUGCAGUAGGGGAGACUGGAAUUCCUGGUGUAGCGGUGGAAUGCGCAGAUAUCAGGAGGAACACCGAUGGCGAAGGCAGGUCUCUGGGCUGUAACUGACGCUGAGAAGCGAAAGCAUGGGGAGCGAACAGGAUUAGAUACCCUGGUAGUCCAUGCCGUAAACGUUGGGCACUAGGUGUGGGGGACAUUCCACGUUUUCCGCGCCGUAGCUAACGCAUUAAGUGCCCCGCCUGGGGAGUACGGCCGCAAGGCUAAAACUCAAAGAAAUUGACGGGGGCCC
rnacentral:rRNA from 1 species